AAGUCGUAACAAGGUUUCCGUAGGUGAACCUGCGGAAGGAUCAUUAUUGAAAUAAACCUGAUGGGCUGUUGCUGGUUCUCUAGAGAGCAUGUGCACGCCUUGUCAUCUUUAUAUCUCCACCUGUGCACUCUUUGUAGACCUUUCAGGUCUAUGUUGCCUGUUCAUUUACCCCAAUGUAUGUUAAUAGAAUGUUGUGCCUAUGAAAUAUAUACAACUUUCAGCAACGGAUCUCUUGGCUCUC
rnacentral:misc_RNA from 1 species